rnacentral:piRNA from 1 species
UUGCAUGUAUGUUUGUGUGGGGCUCACCUG